ACAUAAUUGUUAAAAUCUUGGUGGAAUUGCUCAACACUCAAAUACUGGAACUGUGGGGGAUUGUUCAUUUGUUUAGUCUUUUGGAGUUGACCCAUCUUGACUUGGGGAUGAAGAGUCAGUGUGAUGAGAAAAUGUUCGAUUUUGUCUUUUGU